AGUGUGGCUCAGUCGGUAGAGCAGCUGAUUCGUAAUCAGCAGGUCGCCGGUUCAAGUCCGGCCACU
rnacentral:tRNA from 2 species